AUUGAACGCUGGCGGCAUGCCUUACACAUGCAAGUCGAACGGCAGCACGGGUGGUUGCACCUGGUGGGGAGUGGGGGACGGGGGAGUAAUACAUAGGAACCUGUACUGACGUGGGGGUUGGCGCGGAGGAAGGCGAAUUUAUACCGCAUCCGAUUUCCGGAUGAAAGGGGGGGAAGUGGAGGCUUGGAGCUAUGGGGUUGGAAUGAGGCGAAUUCGGAUUUGGGAGUGGGUGGGGUAAAGGCCGACCAAGGCGAGGAUCUGUAGCUGGUGGGAGAGGAGGACCAGCCACACUGGAACUGAGACACGGCCCAGACUCCUACGGGAGGCAGCAGUGGGGAAUUUUGGACAAUGGGCGAAAGCCUGAUCCAGCAAUGCCGCGUGUGUGAAGAAGGCCUUCGGGUUGUAAAGCCCUUUUGUCCGGAAAGAAAUCCUUGGCCCUAAUACGGUCGUGGUAUGACGGUACCGGAAGAAUAAGCACCGGCUAACUACGUG
rnacentral:rRNA from 1 species